rnacentral:rRNA from 1 species
ACGGCUACCUUGUUACGACUUAGCCCCAGUCACCGGUUUUACCCUAGGGCGCUCCUCGCGGUCACGCACUUCAGGUACCCCCGGCUUCCAUGGCUUGACGGGCGGUGUGUACAAGGCCCGGGAACGUAUUCACCGCGCCGUGGCUGAUGCGCGAUUACUAGCGAAUCCAGCUUCAUGGAGUCGGGUUGCAGACUCCAAUCCGAACUGAGACAGGUUUUCGGGUUCCGCGCCGGGUCGCCCCGUGGCAUCCCGCUGUACCUGCCAUUGUAACACGUGUGUCGCCCCGGACGUAAGGGCCGUGCUGAUUUGACGUCAUCCCCGCCUUCCUCGCAGCUUGCGCCGGCAGUCUCCACAGAGUCCCCAGCUUUACCUGCUGGCAACUGUGGACAGGGGUUGCGCUCGUUAUGGCACUUAAGCCGACACCUCACGGCACGAGCUGACGACAACCAUGCAGCACCUCGCAGAAUGUCCGAAGAAAGACCCCUUUCGGGACCCGUCAUCCUGCGUUUGAGCCCGGGUAAGGUUCCUCGCGUAUCAUCGAAUUAAACCACAUGUUCCUCCGCUUGUGCGGGCCCCCGUCAAUUCC